rnacentral:rRNA from 1 species
GUACGCGAGCUGGGUUUAGAACGUCGUGAGACAGUUCGGUCCCUAUCUGCCGUGGGCGUUGGAGAAUUGAAAGGGGCUGCUCCUAGUACGAGAGGACCGGAGUGGACGAACCUCUGGUGUUCGGGUUGUGUCGCCAGACGCAUUGCCCGGUAGCUAAGUUCGGGAUCGAUAACCGCUGAAAGCAUCUAAGCGGGAAGCGAGCCUUGAGAUGAGUUCUCCCUGAUACUUUAAGUAUCCUAAAGGGUUGUYSKAGACUASRACGUUGAUAGGCAGGGUGUGUAAGCGUUGUGAGGCGUUGAGCUAACCUGUACUAAUUGCCCGUGAGGCUUAACCAUACAACACCCAAGGGGUUU